UACGUAGGGGGCAAGCGUUAUCCGGAUUUACUGGGUGUAAAGGGAGCGUAGACGGUUACGCAAGUCUGGAGUGAAAGGCGGGGGCCCAACCCCCGGACUGCUUUGGAAACUGUAUAACUGGAGUGCAGGAGAGGUAAGUGGAAUUCCUAGUGUAGCGGUGAAAUGCUUAGAUAUCACGAAGAACUCCGAUUGCGAAGGCAGCUCACUGGACUGCAACUGACACUGAGGCUCGAAAGUGUGGGUAUCAAACAGG
rnacentral:rRNA from 1 species